UGCCCUACAUCCCUAGGCCCUAGCUCAGAGGCUGGCACGCAGAAGAUCAGGAAUGUUUGCUGAUAAUCUGUGAGAUGCAGACAUGAGGAAUCCACUCUCGGAGCCCUGGUGUCCUCAUCUGAUGGCAGAGCUAGUGUUCAACAGCUGCCUUUAUUAAGUCCUUCCUAUAGAAAAGCUCAGGAGAUGCAGCUCCCAGGGAGACUCAAAGCCACUUCUAUGAAAGGCCAUUGUCACCAGACGGCCUAAGGCUCAUGGAGAGGUGAUCCAGAGAACCACAGACAGUAAAGGAGAGAAGCCAGAACCAAAACCCAGAUGUGUCUCAUCCCCAAAGAGUGUUUUUUCUACUACAACAGUCCUAUAGCUGGAAAUUUAACAGCAUUGAGAUCUGAUCCCAGCUCCUGACCUGUCUGUCAAUAUACUGACUUUCCCCAGCUACAGUGGUUGGCUCAGAAGUGGGCACGUGGUCUAGGUUAGUUCAAGCAGAAUAACUCUGGUGCCUGAUGAGGAACUUUUGGAAAGAGGCUUCAUUCUUGCCUGCCUUGAACAUGGGGGCAGGCUGGAGAGGGGGAGCUGAAGCUUUGGCUGAGAAGGAGAUGAGGUUGAGACUGUGGCAGUGGUCUUGAACUGCAGGGUCAAGGGCUGCAGAUGUGGUGGGUAGGAGAGCAAAUGUGCCCAACACAUGUGAAGAGUUGUGAGAAAUAAAACACUGCCUGCCAUAUCAGAAACCGAGGAUGUCACAGCCAUCAAUCACUGCAACCCCUCUCCCCAGUGAACCCGGAGAGAACUCAGGAUGGAAACAAGGAGUGUCCAUCAUCAAGCAGUCAUCAGACCACAGCCACCAGUGAAGGUGCAGCUUGAGAAAACUCAGGAUUUGAAAACAAAGGAUACUGGCCCCAUAGAGCCGAGGUGCAUACCAAAGGAAGGAUUUCAGUGAGCCCAGGCUCUUGCAUCUUCCCGUACUCAGAAAAGCACUAAAUUCCUUAACUUGAAAUAUCUGGUUUUCUUUAAUUAGCAAUAAUCUUCUGAGAUUCUGACUACCCUCCCUUUGUUGCCCAAACUUCUAUAUAUCCUGGCUCCUCCCCUCGCCUCCUCAGAGCAGUUUUCUUAGAGCUAAGAUGUUAUCUCCCAGGUUUGAAGGGCCUAAAA